GUUACUUUUCAGACGACGAGGGAGCAGCCGAUCCUUUACCACGGGAGCGUUUGAUGACCUCGAGGAAUCACGUCGUACGUCCACUUUCUUGUGCGAAUCUUGAUGCGCCUGAUGACAACCCAACCACAUAUCCAGGGUUACUGUGAGCCCAUGAGGCGUGUUUGGUGGUUUCUUCUUGUCCACGGCACAUCCCCACUUGAAUCCGCCCGCGUCUCUUCUUUCCAAGCCCUUACCACCGUCCUUUCCCUCCCAUUCCCCUCUCCUCCCUCCCUCCCUCCUCUCUGAGCUCCCCGAACGGCGCAUCGUCCAUGUGCCUAUAAAAAGACCGACUUUUCCCCUUGUUUUGCUUUUGUUCGAGCCACGAAUCCCUUUGGUGUUGCUCUGCAUUAGGGGGGGCUUAAUGGCGGCGGCUUCCUCGCGAGGGAGGAGGGAGCCCCUGCGGCAAUGGAGGGACCGGGAGACGAGUCCCGAGAGGACCAAAGUGUGGAAGGAGCCGAAGCCGAGGAGGGUCCCCGUGGUGUACUACCUCUCCCGGAAUGGCCAGUUGGAGCACCCCCAUUUCAUGGAGGUCACCCUCUCCUCCAGCCACGGCCUCUACCUCAGAGAUGUGAUCGAACGUCUCAACUUUCUCAGAGGCCAGGGAAUGGCCAGUUUGUACUCUUGGUCCUCCAAACGGUGCUACAAGAAUGGAUUUGUGUGGCACGAUCUGUCCGAGGACGAUCUGAUCUACCCGGCGCACGGCCACGAGUACGUCCUCAAGGGGUCGGAGCUCCUCCAACCCGUCUCCUCUCCCAGUUCCCAGGACACCAUUGCCCCAUUUUAUGCCUCCGACAAGCCGCUGCCGAUCCCCAAAUCCGUGCACGAAGAUCCCGAAAUCUUGCAAAUUAGGAAAAAAAGGGCGCCUUGGAGCUCCCUCGACCUCAACGAGUACAAGGUCUACAAGACCGACCUGGCGGUGGAGACCGGCGUCAAGGCUGCGGACGCGUCCACGCAGACCGACGACGGGAGGAGCAGGCACCGGGCCGCUGUUGCCAGGGACGACGGGCGCCGAGCGUUGAUCCCGAUGGUGGAGGAGGCCGAGCCCCCAACCACCGAGCUGGAGCGGGAAGAGAUCUCUCCGCCGCCGUCGUCUUCGAGCCCGGAGACCCUGGAGACACUACUUAAGGCGGACGUACGGGCGUCGGCUUCCGCGGCCACGACUGUGGGGCUCGACGACCACGACCCUACGGUGGGGGGCUAUGCAAGCGGGCGGAUGCGAGCGUCGGCGGUGCUGAUGCACCUGCUGUCGUGCGGCUCCAUCAACGUGAAGGACCAUCACGGUAUCUCGGCGUCGCCGCCGUCGUGCAAGGAGAAGGUUGCGCCACGUGGAGGGUCCGAUUUCGGCGGCGCGAAAGUGGCGGACGGCUUGAUGGAGGGCAACAGCUUCUCGCGGAUCAGGCUGGAGGAUAAAGAGUACUUCAGCGGGAGCUUGAUCGAGACGAAGAAGGGAGGCGACGGCCGUGCCGACUUCCCCGGCCUGAAGAGGUCCUCCUCUUACAACGCGGACAGUUCUCGAUAGCCAUGAUUAAUCUAUUUUGGACAAGACAAUUUGCAUUUUGAGUUGGCUAAGCAGCGUUGUUAGCUCUUGGGAUUAAUCGUGCCAAAAGCAUAUAUUAGAUUGUUGGUUGGGUAGGCAGAACAUGUACUGCACUGCUAGAAUGGGUUGGGCUGUGUCAGAAAGUUGCACCUUUUACUCUCAUCCUUUUCGGUCACCGCUGCCGGGGACGCAGGACAGCCUUUUGCCCUGCCGGGUAAGGGAAGAGCCUGAAGCUACCACAGCUGGAUUCCCCUGCUGCAUUGUCAGACCAGCCUUGUCUUCCAGUAUGUGUUCGCCUUCUUCAGGUCUUUACCACUGCAUGGUCAUUCGGAUGCUGCCCUUGUCGUCAUAAUAUCUUCACAUUCGUGGUCGCAAGCGAAAUUUACCUCGUCAUCUCACCGUGAUGAAGUGAGGUGCUCGAAACUGGAGCUUGCGGAGAAGGAAAUCGAGGGCGUCCGUGCCAAAUGCAUCCCCAGGAAGCACAAGGCCGUGGAAAGGAGAGAGUCAAACGCACCAAUCUCGCGCAGCACUCUCGGAAGCAAGCGGAUCA